UACAGAGGGUGCAAGCGUUGUUCGGAAUUAUUGGGCGUAAAGCGCACGUAGGCGGAUUGUUAAGUUAGGGGUGAAAUCCCAGGGCUCAACCCUGGAACUGCCUUUAAUACUGGCAAUCUCGAGUCCGAGAGAGGUGAGUGGAAUUCCGAGUGUAGAGGUGAAAUUCGUAGAUAUUCGGAGGAACACCAGUGGCGAAGGCGGCUCACUGGCUCGGUACUGACGCUGAGGUGCGAAAGCGUGGGGAGCAAACAGG
rnacentral:rRNA from 1 species